UCACCGCCACUUCUGCGGGCUCCGGCUCCGGGUGCCGCGAGGCCCGAGGGAACCCCCCACGCUGGCGGCAGGCGCGCUGUGCCCCUCGUGCAUCCCAGGCUCCCGCUCUGCCUCCCGCUACCCCCGACAUCCCUCCUGUCCCGGGAGGGCGGGGGGAGGCAGAGCUCCUCUCCCGUGCCGUCCACUCCCAAUCCAGGACAGGCCGCGCUCCCGCCGGCUCCUCCGUUGCCGUUCCGGGAGAAGUGAUGGGACAGGCUCCGCGUUGCAGGGUCCUGAAAAAAACGGGCACUUGCCAAACUGCGGACCAGAUGUGACUGAGGAGACUCACUGCAGUAUCUCAUAACUGGAAGUCAGAGGGACAAGGGUGCUUCUGAACAGGAGUACGUUGCCAGGGCAACAGAGUGUAAGCAGGAGCACAGCACCUUGCAGAUCACAAAGGCAAAGCUGCAGAAAGAAAUUUCAGCGAGUUUCUCUCUCCCUUUUGCAAUGUAAUGACGACUUAUUUUUCAUGCACUGAUUUAAUAAUCUUAUUGAAAGAUCCUUUCCCUGUUUCUCUUAUUCUUGUCUGUCUGGGCGCGGACAAUGGUAAAAACCUGGAAUUGUCAAGCCCACUGGGCUCAGCAAACUAACAGAUGUAAUAUGUUUAGCAUUUUUAUGUAAUUACUUUUUAUUGCUAUUUUACCCCUACUUCUAUUCCUCCCCGGUUAGAUGCUGCUUCCCUUCCAUUCCAGCCCAAUCAGGGGAUGGAGAGGGGCUGGGGGAGAGUUGGUAAUUGACGGCAUUAAUCGGGAAUUAUUAGUGGGACGUGUUUUCAGGGGUGGGGGUUGGGUGCAGAAAGAGACCUUUUAGGAAGGGUGAAUUGAAUUAUGGGCGAUGCAAUAAUGAAGCCUCUGGGCUGUGAGCUGCAGAGGACACUCAUCCUCACAGAGCUCUGAGUGUUAUUUAUCAUGGGCUCUGCUCUGUGGGUGAAAAACAGUGUGUUGCCCUACUGACAUCCUCUGGGUGGGGGAGGUCUCAACUAGCUGGGCUGAAAAUGAAAAAAAAGCUGAUUUGGGAUGAUUAAAAAUGGAGAUCUUCGAUGUUGGUUAGACAGGGAGCAGGCACGCUGCUACCAAACCCUCGGCAGGGCGCAGUUUGUGACCAGUCUGUCUCUUGUAAACAUUUUGCUUGUUCUUUCCCAAGGGCCAGGGCUGGGGAAGGAAGCGUGGGAAAAGCAAUCUUUGCAGGCUGCAGAACUGAAGGUGGGGGAAGGCUCUGUGAGAUGAAGUACAAACCCCGGGUUGUCUCACUGCAGCUGAAAAAUUCCAAGAAGUUGGGAACAAAGGCUGUCUGUCACCUGAGCCCAGCAGUGCUGGGGCACUGCGUGUGGCAGGUCUCCGGCUGGCACCAGAAAGCAGCAGGAUGUGUGGGUUUGGAGGGCUGACAGGGCAAGGCUGAGGGAAAGGGCACUGGGAUAGGGGUUUGCAGCCUCAGCUGAGAAUAUCACAGUUUUGUGGUGUGAAUUCAUGCUCAUUGAUGUUGCUGACAUGGAACCUUUGCUUUAGGAUGCCAGUUCUUUAAAGGACAGCACAUAGAUUUACAUGUUCUGCAUUUUGCAAAAUAAUUACAUAAAAUAAUACAUAAUAAUAUAUAUAAAAUAAUAUAUUUUAUAUAUGUAAAUAAUAUAUAAAAGCCAAGCAGCAUUCUCCCUACAGGAUUACCUUGUGCCAAACAUUACUGGUUUUCUCUGAGUUAGCAUUUCACAAGUCACUGUGAAUGUGAGAUGUUCCCUGAACCAGGGUUUCAUGGAACAACAAAAACUGCUUUGAGGCACAUUGCAGAAAUGGCUGGAAGCUGGACUCAGGAAUGGGAGGUGGUUCUGCAGAGAGCGACAGGGACCAAACCCUUGGACCAGGUGUGGGGACAGUUGCCUGCAAGAGAAGAGAAAAUUCUGCUUGGAGACCUGGGCGUGAGGCGCAUAACUCAUGGAUUUCCUGCGUCUCCAGAUAAGCAUUUAUACCUGAGACAUCAGAGUCCAGGGAGUGAAGAACAGCCUGGCUGCAGGGACAAGGGCAUGUGGCUCUGUUCAGAGUGAGCAGAAAAGCCAGGAAUGAAGAAGCAGCCUGUUGCUUUGGCAGUGUUUGAGGAAAUAUCUCCCUUUCCCAUGGCUUCAGAGAGUUGGAGACAAGGUCACGCUGGUCUGAGGAAAGCCAAAUAGCUUCUGGAAAUCCCAAAUCAGACUGACACUGCAAGAUCUGUCCAUCAUUCAAAUUUAGAUGAAGUCACCUUCCACGUUGCUUUCACUGACAUUUAGGAUUUUUUUUGUUUGGUAUUGGCUGGUUUCUGUGAAAUCCAACAGCUCUGCUCCUCUAAGCUCUAGCCAAGAAAAUCUCCACCGUUUUUGUCCUCUGUGCAGAAUCUAAUUUCAUAGAAACUGAACAUUAAUUCAGAUAAAAUAUGUAGAUACAGAAUCUCCUUAAAGCAGUCUUCUGUUAAGUCUGCAGGAAGGCAGCUGACUGCAACCAGACUGGGCCACAGAAAGAACUCUGGGACAAGGUGCACUUGCCAACUGCCAGACAGUGGACAAUAUUUCUAUUUUUUGUUGGCUUAGGAGACUGCAUUUUUGGCUCCUUAAAGCAAUUCUGGACAAGAAACUAUUUGCUGGAUCUUUUUAAUUUUUAAAUUUUUUUUCUGUUUUAAUCAUAAUAAAUUUUAAAAUGUAGAAAGUCAAAA